rnacentral:misc_RNA from 1 species
GGAAGGAUCAUUACUUUAAAAAAGGGCUAACCCAAUAGGGAAGGCCUAUUAACUUAGUGGGAGGCUCAGUACAUUGUACUUAAAAUAUACUAUAAGUAUAAAUUUGGGAGAAAAAAUAUUCACUUUUUUGGCAAAAAAAAAUUGCUAGAAGAGAGCCCAUUUUGGGUACUAUAAGGAGGAAGUGAAGCAAAAGCCAGGGCCCGGCCGAGCUGAUCCGAAUCCGAGUAGCGAGAGUAGGCGAAUGUGUACUAUGUGUCUAAUGUAAGCAUAAAAACCACAACUGUAUAGGGUGGAUGAAUAGGCUCCAGUGUCGAUGAAGAUCGUAGCAAGCUGCGAUAAGUGAUGCGAAUUGCAGAAAUACGUGAGUCAUCAUAUCAUUGAAUGCACACUGCGCUCUGGGCUUCGGCCUAGAGCUUGCUUGGCUCAGUUGCGAUAAUAUAACCCAAAAAAGCCCUCGGUCUUGUCAACCAGGGUAUUUUAAUGGAAAUGAGGGUAAAGCUUAUGCUAUUCCCUUAAAAUGUUGCCUGUCGGCCCAAUAAACACUCUCAUUCGAAUAUGGUGGCACAUAAGGAUAGUUGAGUGGGCGCGAUAGCAUAUAAACCAUGUAGGAAUGCCAAUAACAUUUCGCACUGAGCUCAAGUAAGGCUACCCCCGGAAUUUAAGCAUAUAACUACGGGGAGGAAAAGAAAUUAACUAAGAUUCCCGCAGUAACUGCGAGUGAAAUGGGAAAAGCCCAGCCCGAAUCGGCCUCUGUUAACUCGGGGGCUGAGUUGUAGGCUAAAGACCGCUUGUCUCCUGGCACAAAUUGUCCGAAUUUUGUUGGAACGCAAAGCCACAGAAGGUGAUAGCCCUGUAGGAUUAUGAGAGCCGGGAAAGAAUAGGUGGAUCUAGGAGUCGAGCUACUUGGGAGUGUAGCUCUAAUAGGGUGGUAUGCACCAUCCAAGGCUAAAUAUGAACUGGAGACCGAUAGCGAACAAGUACCGUGAGGGAAAUUUGAAAAGGACUUUGGAAAGAGAGUUAAAAGUGCCUGAAACCCUAUACAGGAAAGCGGUGAACUGGACCGAGCAAUAUGUUAUGAAUCAGCUGAUGAUGGUGAUGUUAGAUGUGCAAGAGAGCAUUCUACGGGGUGUCUCUAGUAUGUUGAUGUAGCUUCGGCAGCGCAUUUUAUAGCAGAGCGCCAGCGCCAUUUGUCGGCGCAUCAUUAAGACUAGGAUACGGUAGCCCCUUUGGGGCGAAGGUCCUGGUUGGAGUUGUGCCGGCGAAUGAGGUGUCUGAAAGGACAAUGGGAGACGGUUUCCCUAGGCCCCUGUCACGGGGAUUCUAAUGAAGCUGUAUCAGCAAAACUGGUGCGGUGGAGUUGUGGCUCAGUGGCGGGUUACUUGGAGUCUCCCUAGGCGUUGGAGGUGAAGUUCACCGUCCCGUCUUGAAACACGGACCAAGGAGUCUAAUUCUUGUGCGAGUUGCAGGGUCAGUAAAACCCUUUAGCAUAAUGAAAGUAAAUUGUCUGAUACGUAAGUUGCAAGAUAGUCCGGUCAGUACUUCGGGUACAGUACCGAGAUGGAGCAUGUGAAUUAGGACCCGAAAGAUAGCGAACUUUGCCUGUACAGGUCGAAGGCAGAAGAAAUUCUGCUGGAGGAUCGUAGCGUUGUUGACGUGCAAAUCACUCGUCAGAUAUGGGUAAAGCGGCGAAAGACUAAUCGAGCUGUCUAGUAGCUGGUUCCGUC